GGGAAAGUGAAGAAACCUGUUUGGGGCAGCAGUGGGGUGGGCGUGGGCAGGGCCCUACCCAGAACUCUGUGGCAGGACCAGUUUCCAUUGCUUCCGGACCGGAUGCAGGGCUGCGAUCCGGGCGGAGACUAGAGAAUUGCGCCCAGGGGGUGCACCUGUACGUUUUUCUGAACAAAGCUCGCCAGGGGUAGGACCAACGUCUCUGGGUCAGCAGUCACUGGGCGCUUCCGGAAAUCCGCCGAGCGGGUGGGGCCAAUCCCAUGUCUCAGGAGAUCCAUCUGCUUCUCCUCAACGUUAUUCUAGGUCUGCCAUGGGCAUCAGUGAGCUCACACAGGGGGUGUGCCAAGUUGGCAACUGUCUUAUCUGUGUGCUGGUUAUUCUUUGAAUCAGUUCUCUUGGAGCCUGUUGCCAUCAUCACCGCUGGGAUUUAGAGAAAUGUCCCUUACUGGCUCCUAUGUGGCAGCAUUUGGGUUCCAGCUGGUGGUGCUAUUUGGAAAGGUCAUGGAGCCUUGAG
rnacentral:lncRNA from 1 species